rfam:Capronia semiimmersa strain CBS 27337 unplaced genomic scaffold supercont1.5, whole genome shotgun sequence.
GGUGGCGUGGCCUAAUGGUAAGGCGUUGCUUUCCGGUCUCGGAAUAUGGCAAAGACUGUGGGUUCGAGUCCCAUCGCCAUCG